UACGUAGGGGGCAAGCGUUGUCCGGAAUCAUUGGGCGUAAAGAGCGUGUAGGCGGCCAGAUAAGUCCGCUGUGAAAUCUCGAGGCUCAACUUCGAGCUGUCGGUGGAAACUGUCUGGCUAGAGUCCGGAAGAGGAGAAUGGAAUUCCUGGUGUAGCGGUGAAAUGCGCAGAUAUCAGGAAGAACACCCGUGGCGAAGGCGGUUCUCUGGGACGGUACUGGACGCUGGAGACGCGAAAGCGUGGGAGCGAACAGG
rnacentral:rRNA from 1 species